rnacentral:lncRNA from 1 species
AUGAUUGAAAUAGUUGACGAAAAUACGCGCGUUGACGCGUAUAGUAGAAAAAGCCUUGACACUCGCGUUUGAAGACGACGAGAGUCAAACGAAUUGUGGAUAUGAUGAUGGAACGGUCCGAAGUAUGACAAGAGGAGCAUACUCACCGAGGACUAAAUCGCGUAAUGACCGCGAACAAAGUUAAUGGCAAAGAACGCCCGUCGGGGAAAACAGUACCAGGUGCACAUUUUAAAUAAUAGCAUAAAUAGUAAUAUGCAACAAUAAGUAGGAACUUAAAAGUUGCAUAUGUAAAAAUUUAAAACUUGGAAAGACCUGAAUAGAAAACCUAUCCGGGAUAUUGUUUCCAAGAAAAAUAGAUAGAGGUAUUACUUACAUAGGGCGUGAUGUGAAAACUGUAGAAAGGUCAUGCGUGUCAUGUGUUAAACGCUUACUCUGGCCAAGUAAGUAGCGGCAUAUGUUACCAUGAACUUCUUAUGGCGGACACGUUUACAUCCGAUGUAGUAAGGGCAGGGUGAAUGGGACUAAUUAAAAAGUGCCCAAAUGAAUCAGAUAAACAAAAUAUUUGAUAAUAAUGUAAACGCACAACCAAGUGACGGGAGCGUAUUACAUUAGGAUAAUGAGCCCGAGUGAAGGGACAAACAAGCAUGUAAAAUGAUUUAGACAAGUAUUGGGAGGGAGUGUACUUACACUCGAACCCAGAAAACAUCAAGCUAUUGGGAGGGAGUGUACUUACACUCGAACCCAGAAAACAUCAAGCUAUUGGGAGGGAGUGUACUUACACUCGAACCCAGAAAACAUCAAGUUAUUGGGAGGGAGUGUACUUACACUCGAACCCAGAAAACAUCAAGAUAUUGGGAGGGAGUGUACUUACACUCGAACCCAGAAAACAUCAAGAUAUUGGGAGGGAGUGUACUUACACUCGAACCCAGAAAACAUCAAGCUAUUGGGAGGGAGUGUACUUACACUCGAACCCAGAAAACAUCAAGCUAUUGGGAGGGAGUGUACUUACACUCGAACCCAGAAAACAUCAAGCAUAUAAAACGAUUUAGACAAAUAUUGGGAGGGAGUGAUACUUACACUCGAACCCGAAGAAUAUAAACAUGUAAAAUGAUCAAGAUAUGCAUUAGGAGGUAGUGUACUUACACUCGAACCCGAAGAAUACAAAUAAGACUCUUAACAGGCCGAUUUUGUAAAACACCAAAUUUGAGAACGAAGUAGGAAUAUAAAAGUAAAACGAAGUCAUAAUACAUACCGUAAGGGUUGCAAUAAUAACGACUUCGGUAAAACACCCAGUUGGUGGGUAAGGAUUUAAACACAUGCGUAGACUGAGAAACAGGAACGCGAAAUAGAAAGUCAAAAGACUCGGAAUAUGAGUCAUGACUAAAAGAUGAUAAGAAUCUUCGCAAAUAUAAAUUUUGGUAAUUGCGUUCAACCAUUUCAAAGUUGGACGGGUCAAAUAAAGAACGAAGUCUGACAUUCAUAGGUGAUGAAAAUUCACCUAAAAUGAGUCAAACGAGUCAAUUAAGGAAAAAUGGAGGGGCCAAAAUGACCGACGGGUCAUGAACUAAAGCAAAGGGAUCAUAAGGGCCUCGUCUUAAAGAGACGAAAGCUUAAGAAAAUAGCCUACGAGGUUAGGUGAAAGAACCUACGGGUCAAUAGCGUAAGGUGAGGGAACUUGUUACGAUCCCUCGCGUAAAACG